UUCAAGGUGCCUUGUCUACUUGUUUGGUUUCACACCAAAUGAAUCGAGUCUCUUAUCUUGUCGUGUACGCCAGCUUACCAUCUAUGGAAUGCUUUCAAUGUCUAUGUUAGCUAAAAUCAUCAACCUAGUGAUGUGAUCUAUUGGCGUUAUCACAAGUUGCACAAGUUGAUGGUUCUGCUAUUUUCGCUGGACCUCAAAUCAAGCCUAUUGGCGUUAACAUCAUGGCUCAUGCUUCUUCAACAAUUAAGGCUUGCUCUUUGGAAGGAAGAGAGGAGGAGAGCAUCUGUAAAGCAACAAGUUCUCCUUGUUUAGCCGAAGUUGUUCCAGAUCUCUGCUAAAGGCGUAAUUGAUGUUAAGGAUUGAUCUAUUUUAGCUAUCAUCUCCCGGAAACUUUUUGAGGGGCGUUUUUUACUUUACGUAUUAGUAGAUCUGCAAGCAAGGGAUGCGAUAUCACAUCUAUGUAACUUUUUGGUUUCCAAUAGGAACGUUCAAGUUUUUAAGAGCUGUAACGAAGACUUGCAGGUCUUUUGAUGUUUGGUGACCGUUCUCUGUCGCUUCUCUAAUGUUUUCUGUAAUUUUAGUGUAUCUUAAGCACUUGAGCACUUAAAACUAAACGUCAAUCUUAAGCACUUACUUGAGCAAA